rnacentral:rRNA from 1 species
GUGCCAGCCGCCGCGGUAAUACGUAGGUGACAAGCGUUGUCCGGAUUUACUGGGCGUAAAGAGCGCGCAGGCGGUCGAUCAAGUCGAGUGUGAAAGCCCCCGGCUCAACUGGGGAGGGUCAUUCGAUACUGAUCGACUCGAAGGCAGGAGAGGGUAGUGGAAUUCCCGGUGUAGUGGUGAAAUGCGUAGAUAUCGGGAGGAACACCAGUGGCGAAGGCGACUACCUGGCCUGUUCUUGACGCUGAGGCGCGAAAGCUAGGGGAGCAAACGGGAUUAGAAACCCUUGUAGUCC